rnacentral:rRNA from 1 species
CCAGAGAACUUAGCAGAGAUGCUUUGGUGCCUUCGGGAACUCUGAGACAGGUGCUGCAUGGCUGUCGUCAGCUCGUGUUGUGAAAUGUUGGGUUAAGUCCCGCAACGAGCGCAACCCUUAUCCUUUGUUGCCAGCGGUCCGGCCGGGAACUCAAAGGAGACUGCCAGUGAUAAACUGGAGGAAGGUGGGGAUGACGUCAAGUCAUCAUGGCCCUUACGAGUAGGGCUACACACGUGCUACAAUGGCGCAUACAAAGAGAAGCGACCUCGCGAGAGCAAGCGGACCUCAUAAAGUGCGUCGUAGUCCGGAUUGGAGUCUGCAACUCGACUCCAUGAAGUCGGAAUCGCUAGUAAUCGUGGAUCGGAAUGCCACGGUGAAUACGUUCCCGGGCCUUGUACACACCGCCCGUCACACCAUGGGAGUGGGUUGCAAAAGAAGUAGGUAGCUUAACCUUCGGGAGGGCGCUUACCACUUUGUGAUUCAUGACUGGGGUGAAGUCGUAACAAGGUAAGCGUAGUGCU